rnacentral:rRNA from 1 species
UGGGGAAUAUUGGACAAUGGGCGCAAGCCUGAUCCAGCCAUGCCGCGUGGAUGAUGAAGGCCCUAGGGUUGUAAAGUCCUUUCGACGGGGAAGAUAAUGACGGUACCCGUAGAAGAAGCCCCGGCUAACUUCGUGCCAGCAGCCGCGGUAAUACGAAGGGGGCUAGCGUUGCUCGGAAUCACUGGGCGUAAAGCGCACGUAGGCGGACUCUUAAGUCGGUGGUGAAAUCCUGGAGCUCAACUCCAGAACUGCCUUCGAUACUGAGAGUCUCGAGUCCGAGAGAGGUGAGUGGAACUGCGAGUGUAGAGGUGAAAUUCGUAGAUAUUCGCAAGAACACCAGUGGCGAAGGCGGCUCACUGGCUCGGUACUGACGCUGAGGUGCGAAAGCGUGGGGAGCAAACAGGAUUAGAUACCCACGUAGUCCCUGAGCGGGCUGGCAAGGCGCAU